GAACGGUGAAAGAGAGCUUGCUCUCUGGAUCAGUGGCGAACGGGGUGAGUAACACGUGAGCAAUCUGCCCUUGACUCUGGGAUAAGCGUUGGAAACGACGUCUAAUACCGGAUACGAGCUGUGAAGGCAUCUUCAACAGCUGGAAAGAACUUCGGUCAAGGAUGAGCUCGCGGCCUAUCAGCUAGUUGGUGAGGUAAUGGCUCACCAAGGCGUCGACGGGUAGCCGGCCUGAGAGGGUGACCGGCCACACUGGGACUGAGACACGGCCCAGACUCCUACGGGAGGCAGCAGUGGGGAAUAUUGCACAAUGGGCGCAAGCCUGAUGCAGCAACGCCGCGUGAGGGACGACGGCCUUCGGGUUGUAAACCUCUUUUAGCAGGGAAGAAGCGAAAGUGACGGUACCUGCAGAAAAAGCACCGGCUAACUACGUGCCAGCAGCCGCGGUAAUACGUAGGGUGCAAGCGUUAUCCGGAAUUAUUGGGCGUAAAGAGCUCGUAGGCGGUUUGUCGCGUCUGCUGUGAAACCCCGAGGCUCAACCUCGGGCCUGCAGUGGGUACGGGCAGACUAGAGUGCGGUAGGGGAGAUUGGAAUUCCUGGUGUAGCGGU
rnacentral:rRNA from 1 species